CCUACGGGGGGCUGCAGUGGGGAAUAUUGCACAAUGGGGGAAACCCUGAUGCAGCGACGCCGCGUGAGUGAAGAAGUAUUUCGGUAUGUAAAGCUCUAUCAGCAGGGAAGAAAAUGACGGUACCUGACUAAGAAGCCCCGGCUAACUACGUGCCAGCAGCCGCGGUAAUACGUAGGGGGCAAGCGUUAUCCGGAUUUACUGGGUGUAAAGGGAGCGUAGACGGCGGAGCAAGUCUGAAGUGAAAGCCCGGGGCUCAACCCCGGGACUGCUUUGGAAACUGUUCUGCUAGAGUGCUGGAGAGGUAAGUGGAAUUCCUAGUGUAGCGGUGAAAUGCGUAGAUAUUAGGAGGAACACCAGUGGCGAAGGCGGCUUACUGGACAGUAACUGACGUUGAGGCUCGAAAGCGUGGGGAGCAAACAGGAUUAGAUACCCCAGUAGUC
rnacentral:rRNA from 1 species